UACGUAGGGUGCGAGCGUUAAUCGGAAUUACUGGGCGUAAAGCGUGCGCAGGCGGUUUUGUAAGCCAGAUGUGAAAUCCCCGGGCUUAACCUGGGAAUGGCAUUUGGGACUGCAAGGCUUGAGUGCGGCAGAGGAGACUGGAAUUCCUGGUGUAGCAGUGAAAUGCGUAGAUAUCAGGAGGAACACCGAUGGCGAAGGCAGGUCUCUGGGCCACUACUGACGCUGAGAAGCGGAAGCAUGGGGAGCGAACAGG
rnacentral:rRNA from 1 species